rnacentral:rRNA from 1 species
GAGUUUGUAUCCUGGCUCAGGAUGAACGCUAGCUACAGGCUUAACACAUGCAAGUCGAGGGGAAACGGACAUCGAAAGCUUGCUUUUGUAUGGGCGUCGACCGGCGCACGGGUGAGUAACGCGUAUCCAACCUGCCCAUCACUUGGGGAUAACCUUGCGAAAGUAAGACUAAUACCCAAUGACGUCUCUAGAAGACAUCUGAAAGAGAUUAAAGAUUUAUCGGUGAUGGAUGGGGAUGCGUCUGAUUAGCUUGUUGGCGGGGUAACGGCCACCAAGGCGACGAUCAGUAGGGGUUCUGAGAGGAAGGUCCCCCANAUUGGAACUGAGACACGGUCCAAACUCCUACGGGAGGCA